ensembl:lncRNA
ACCCAUUCCUAUCCCUUCUCCCACCCUUUCCUUAAAACUCUUCUCCUGGCCUCUGCAAAUGACAAAAGAACUCGUUUUUGAGAUGAUUUUUAAAACCCUUGAUGAACUGGUAACUGACCACCCCCACUCCCCACGCAAGUCUGUCUAACCAGGCACCAGCGUUCUCUCCACCAGUCUCCAUCGGACAGCCCAGCUGCAUGAGUGUCUAAACUAAAGGGACUCAGCAUUCCUGGAAGCAGGAGUCCCUGUCUGGACUGUGCAGAGUUGGCUUUUUGGGAGGGAGGGGUAGUAUGGGGUGGGAGGAUUCCUACAAUGAAUUAAAUUACAAAAAGCAGGCAGCUGCAGCAGGAAGGGGCCUGAGUUUUCUGCCAAAGGAUUGGAACCUGUUUUGACGGCUACGCAUCCCUCGUGCACGGAAAAGGUGCUUUUCUGAGUCCUUGUUCCCAGCUGCUGGCCCUCGCUCACCAGGCCAGGCCUCCAGACCUGUUCAGGAAGUGAAGCUAGGAUGAAGGCUUCCCAGUCAGUGUCCGGUUCCUUUUGCGUCAUCCCAGACUGUUCCUGGGCUGGACUCUCUGGACCUCUCUGAGGUUGCUUCAUCAGGUUGGCCAGACCUUCGGCCCAUCGCUGGCUCUGUGACCCCACUUCUGGCCUUGUCGCUCACCUCCCUCCUCACCGCAGCAAGAGGCUCCUCACUGCAUGCUGGCAACGUCCUGAUGCGGAAGACUGGCGGACCCAACCAAGAAUGUUCAGAGUGACCGACAUUGGUCGUGCGAAGCCACUCAGUUCUGAGGUUGCACAGCAAUUGAUGAGCAACACAGAAAGCGACGCUGGGACCUUCAGAGGACGUGAAGGCCCCUCUGGGGAGGUGUGGCCCGCCUGUCUGCAGUGAACCCCAGGAGCUCUCUCCUCCCACAAACCGCACCCUCCUUCCAGGUUUCAUUCACAGUAGUCCAGGGUGACUGUUUUCUCUUACCACUCUGACCCCAUAGUUCAGAGGUCCCCAGCCUCCGGGAUGCAAUGCCUGGUGAUCUGAGGUGGAGUUGAUGUUAUAAUUAAGUGCAUGAUAAAUGCAAUGCCCUUGAAU